UGAUUGCAGUGAAGCAUUUGCAUGAUUAUGAUUUCAGAUGAGAAAACAGAAAUUGCAAAAGAAGGUCGCAAGAAAGAGCUCGGGAAAAGAGAGAAUUGUCUCAUAAGUUGCAUGCAAUCAUUUGUCAUGCUAAUACUUCAGAACAGCAGCUAUUGCCAAAUGCUGAUCUUUUUUAAUAAAUAUUUCAUAUUACAUAAUUGUUGUGCUCAUGUAGAGGUAACAUAUGUUCAAC
rnacentral:lncRNA from 1 species